AAAAAGAUAUAAUCUACAGGAUCAUGCGUGAAACAAUCAGCAAUGAUUUAGCGAAAAAGUUUAACUGGAUGGGCAGGGGGCAGAAAAGUCCUUUUUCUGUGUUGCACCUGGCAAAAGUCAUCAUAGAUGCUGCCAAAAAACAAGGGGCCACCUUAAUGGAGGCAGAA